rnacentral:pre_miRNA from 1 species
UGGACAGAUUAUUGUAUUCGACUGUAUUCACGUUGUGAAACAGGGGAUUACACUGUUUUUAAACGGAAAGUGAAUCAAUUAACAUAAUAGACUCCU